CAUCACAGAGACCUGCAGGGCCCUGGCGCUCAGAAGCCAGCGUGAGGUUCUAGGUCUGGGGCCGGGGCGGGCGACAGCGGGGCUCGGAGCCACAGCCACAGCCCUGCCUGACGUAGGUCUGGUGUCUGGUCAGUGUCCUGAGGACGUUAUGCCAUGCAGGGCGGUUCUGAAUUGCCUGGGCCCAGCCUGGUGUUGCCACGGUCCCCACCCCACUCUGCAGCCCUGUCUGAUCCUGACCCAGUUUUCUUGCCCACCCCUGAGGCUCAAACACUGUGAUUUGAGCUCAGACAA
rnacentral:lncRNA from 1 species